GACGAACGCUGGCGGCGUGCUUAACACAUGCAAGUCGAACGGAAAGGCCCCUUUGGGGGUACUCGAGUGGCGAACGGGUGAGUAACACGUGAGUAACCUGCCCUUGACUUCGGGAUAACUUCAGGUAACUGGGGCUAAUACCGGAUAGGAAUCCUUGCUGCAUGGUGGGGGUUGGAAAGCUUCGGCGGUUUUGGAUGGACUCGCGGCUUAUCAGCUUGUUGGUGGGGUAGUGGCUUACCAAGGCUUUGACGGGUAGCCGGCCUGAGAGGGGGACCGGCCACAUUGGGACUGGGAUACGGCCCAGACUCCUACGGGAGGCAGCAGUGGGGAAUAUUGCACAAUGGGCGGAAGCCUGAUGCAGCAACGCCGCGGGCGGGAUGACGGCCUUCGGGUUGUAAACCGCUUUCAGCAGGGGCGAAGCUUGUGGUGACGGUACCUGCAGAAGAAGCACCGGCUAACUACGUG
rnacentral:rRNA from 1 species